UUCCCUUAGUAACUGCGAGUGAAGAGGGAAAAGCUCAAAUUUAAAAUCUGGCAGUGUUUCACUGUCCGAGUUGUAACCUAGAGAAGUGUAACCUGUGCUGGACCGUGUAUAAGUCUCCUGGAAUGGAGCAUCAUAGAGGGUGAGAAUCCCGUCUUUGACAUGGACUACCAGUGCAUUGUGGUUGCGCUCUCAACGAGUCGAGUUGUUUGGGAAUGCAGCUCUAAAUGGGUGGUAAAUUCCAUCUAAAGCUAAAUAUUGGCGAGAGACCGAUAGCGAACAAGUACCGUGAGGGAAAGAUGAAAAGAACUUUGGAAAGAGAGUUAAACAGUAUGUGAAAUUGUUGAAAGGGAAACGUUUGAAGUCAGUCGCGUUGGUUGGGGAUCAGCCUGACAUUGUUGGGUGUACUUCCUGGUUGACGGGCCAACAUCAGUUUUGACUGCCAGAAAAAGGCCAAAGGAAUGUGGCACCUUUGGGUGUGUUAUAGCCCUUGGUCGUAUAUGGUGGUUGGGACUGAGGAAAGCAGCGUGCCGAAAGGCCGGGUUUCGACCACGUUCACGCUGAGGAUGUUGGCAUAAUGGCUUUAAGCGACCCGUCUUGAAACACGGACCAAGGAGUCUAACAUGCGUGCGAGUGUUUGGGUGGAAAACCCUUACGCGUAAUGAAAGUGAAAGUUGAGAUCCCUGUCGCGGGGAGCAUCGACGCCCGGACCAGAACUUUUGGGACGGAUCUGCGGUAGAGCAUGUAUGUUGGGACCCGAAAGAUGGUGAACUAUGCCUGAAUAGGGUGAAGCCAGAGGAAACUCUGGUGGAGGCUCGUAGCGAUUCUGACGUGCAAAUCGAUCGUCAAAUUUGGGUAUAGGGGCGAAA
rnacentral:rRNA from 1 species